GACGGCCAUACCAUGCUGAAUAUACCGGUUCUCGUUAGAUCACCGAAGUCAAGCAUCAUUGGGCGCGGUCAGUACAUGGGUGGGUGACCACCUGGAAACAUCGCGUGCCGU
rnacentral:rRNA from 1 species